GGCGGGCGAGGGGGGCGGCGCUGUUGUCUGUGCCAGCCGUCACCCGGGCGGGGAGGCAGGCGGGCGGCGGCCUCUGGCAUCGCCUCGCCUCCCUCAGCCGGCUGCCGGCGGGAGCCACCCUCGCCCCCUCGGGAGCGCUGGCUGCGUGGUAACGACGGAGAGGGAGACACCCAGGGCCGGGGCAGGAAUGCGAAGGAGGAAAUGGGGGAUAAUGAUGGAGUGUGGCGGUGUUUGUAAUGUGAGGUCCUUUUGAAAUCCUUAACGACUCUGAGGGCAAGGUUAGCAAAUAAAGUUUAUUUUGCUGCUAAAUGAAGGGCCGUCUGGAAAGAAAGUCGUCUUUUAGAAGAUUGAUGCUGUUUAAAGUCGGUUUUAGUAGGUGAGCUCCUCAGGAGCCGGAAGAAUUUUAUUCCAAUUGAUUAAAUGCCAGCUUAAUCAGAACUGUUUACACAACCGUAGAGUAAUGAAAGAGCAACAUUUUUAGCAUAGUAGAUGGGUGAAAAUGGGCCACUGUAAGACUGAAAAUAUGACAAAGCAGACACACCAAAGUACUAAUUAAGCUUCUUAAUUGGGAAAAUAAUAAUGCCCUUUUCAGGUGUACAGUAGCACCUCACAUUUCUCAAAUUCAUGAACACAGACGGGUCUAAGGAAAGUCAAUAUUAUGUAAGAUGUCAAAGUAAGCCUUCUGUCUGUGCAUAAUCCUAAGGGGUUUCUUCCUUUUAUUCCCUGCUAAAUGUGUGUGGCUCCUAGAGUUCCAAAACGUGGUGUGUCACCUAUGCUGGCUAACACGCUUGCUUUUGUGCUAACAACAUUUUCAGUCACUGGAACCAAGCUCCUCUUUGACAAGGUGAUCCCCCACCCCGGAUGUAGUCCAGUUUAGACCUUUCAACGAGUUAAGCCUGUGCAUAAAAAUACAUCUCAUAAGAAACAUGAAUGCAAGCCAAGAGAGUAACCAGUGCCUCCCAGCCUAUAUACUCAUUUCCUGAUACAGGAGCAGCAUUACUCUUAUUUUUGUUUUAGCUAGGCUUCACCUUUUUUGAACAUCCUUAGCACCUAAUUUAGUCAUCAAUUUGCUUUAGACUACAGUUUUGAAAGUCGAAUAUGCAGGAUUGUGUAGCUACACGAGCUAUCGACGUUCUCAUAAACGCUGCCGAGGCAGUAAUUGAUGUCAUAUGAACGUGGAGUUAAUCAGUUCAGCUUCCUCCAAACCUUGUUGGAGUGUUACGAUGGGAAAGCUCUAAAGAGAAAGUAGUGCUUUAAACCCCGUGAUAGAAGGACCGUGUCGUUCUCUGAACUAUUUAAUUACUGUUUAAAUUAUUUUCUUGAUAUGAAAAGCUGAAACUGAAAAGCUUUGGGGGAAAAAUCCUGCUGGCUGUUUUCUGCUGAGUCAUUCCACUGGUUUAUCAGAAGCAUUUCACCAACAUUGUAAUACGACUUGCGCCAAUCGCAAUCAAUCUCCUUUUGUUCAUGAGCUCAGAAUCUGAAUUCCCCUUUUCAAGCUCUGUAGAAGGGACAGAUGCUCAGAACAUCAGUGUUCUCCAAAUGGAGCAAGUCAGAGCAAGACAAUGACAGAUUAUUCUGAAUAUUCACCUAGCUGCUGUGUGACAUUUCAAAUUGACAGUUCUGGUUUUGUGGUCAGAUCUCAGGAAUCCUGACAGUGGAAUUUUUUAUUUGCUUGUUGGUUUUUGUUGGGUUUUAUUUUCCUAACAGCCAACUUGAAUCUGGUCUCCGUUUGGCAAGCAUUUCAGAAACAGCUGGUACAUGACCAUAUGCUGUGCUGGCACUGCUGUGAGCUUAUUUCCCACUUGUCCUCCUGGUCAAUCAGAGCUGCUCCAUGUGCUGAAGGACAGCUGGUCCCUUGGCAUGCAAAGCAGCUAAUGAACUUUUCCUCCAAAAAGCCAUAGCUAACUCCAGUCAGAGGCUUUUCCUUUCUGAACCGCUAUCAAAGAUGGAAGUUCUCUAUGGGAACCCUGUUUGUUGCCCCUGUGUGACAGCCUACACACAGCAAGAACAACUAGCGCUAACAAUUGGGAAACCCUAAUAAUACCUUGAGAAACCUUUGGGAAGUCCAAAAUAAUAAAUGAACAGGACUCUGUCUCACCAUGCUGCUGCAUGCAUAAAACAGACCACCUGAAGUCUAUCGCAAGAAAGACUCAGAGAAGAUAUGAAAAACCCGUGAUAAUUGCCUACACCGCUUUGGACAAACAGCCAAGCCAUACAAAAGAUAAAGAAAAUGAAAGCUUUGUACUAUACAAUGAAUGUGAAAGUCCAAGUACCUACAUACAGCAUUUGAAACAAUAAACCAACGAACAGCUUUCACUAGUGGUAUAAGGAAAAGACUACAGAAAGUACAGUGUUAUAAGAGAUUUUUAUUCCUGGGAGCAUACUUUUGCAGACGCAUGUGCUUCUGUACAUUGAACAGUACUUCACUGCAAAGUUUUUCAGAGCAAGGCAGCUUCCCAUGGAGGACAUAGCAGUGGCAGCCCUGUGCACCGUAAUCUACUGAUUCAUCCAUUUGUCUUGGAAGAUGGAGAUGUUUUGUCUAGGACCUUUUCAGUCUAGAAUGCAGAGAACAUAUUAACUGAACACCUUUUUCUGGCUCACCAUCCCAUUUCAGGGGUUCACCUGAGGCACAUCUCAUCAGAGGCAGCCAGGUUGUGAGUUUAUGCAGUGGCAGGUUCAAUCAACAUACUUCUUUGCUUGUGAUGUUGAUUUGGGGGGGAUUUUCUUUUAAUUCUGUAAUGAUUAGGUUCUCCAGUGCACUUCUCUUAUUUUCCGUGGUGGUAGGUUUUGUAAUGUCAGCUGAUAUUAUAUUCCUUUGGCACACCUAUCAUUUGCAUGCACAUAAGGCACUGAAGGUGCUCAUUAUUUUCAGCUAACAACUAAUCUUGUUCCCACUUAAUUUGAAAUACAUUGUUCUCUGUAUCCUAAUUUUGGCUUUUACAGUUACUUGCCUCAUUGCAUUUGGAUUACACUGCACCACAUUUUAAUACAUCCUAUUUAAAACCUGCAAGAUAAAACAUCACAAUAAAUAGGUACAUAGAUAUAAUUGCAAUGGAAACAUUAUGGCAGCUACAGAGGUUGACAUGAUUUAUCACCUGUCAAGAGUACAUCAUCAUGGGCAUAGUGGACAGUAUGGCGCUGCUCCGUUGAGUAAAAGCUCAGUCUUUCCACUGGUCUCACAAGACUCUCAGCCUUCCCACAGGUUGCACCAACGUGUUUCUGCACUCACAUAUAACAGCGGCAGAACUCUCUACAGACGGGCUCUUGUGAUAAUAUUAUUGCAGCAGCAAGCCGUUCCCACAAGGAGCUGAGAAGGUUUAUCAGAGGUUCAUGCACCUGCAUUCGCCACUUUUUUAACCCUGGAGCUGCUGCUGGACAAAUAUGCCAGUGUCUGCUUGCGAAGCAAUGGCAAACCACUCCUUCAUGUGGAAGCAACAGCUUCUACUGAGAUUCACGCACCUCCUGAAUUAGUCAUUUCCUUUCAUCUCCACUCCAGGAUUGUACAAGAUGGUAAUGAUGCUACGAGAGGAAUUGUCUUGUGGGCUGUAUUUGACUUGCACAACACCCACGGUAGUGUAUCAUAUUUGCAGACAAUAUCAGUUACUAUUUGCAGUGGCUAAAUGUCUCGGUAAGAGAUUAACGUAACACCAAUGAAAAAAAUAAGCUUCAUAAUUUAAGUUAUCUCUUAAGAUAUGUCUUAAGUAAAACUUUACCACAUACAACUAUGAAUACUCCUUUCAUCUUGCAUAAGGGUUGUUUCUUUCACUUUUGGUCCCUUUUCUAUGUGACAUCAGAUAAUCAAAAAAGCCAUUUGUACACUACGAUAUAAGGGAGUCGACAAGAAGUCAGAGCAGAAUAUAUUUAUAUUUAUAUUUAUAUUUAUAUUUAUAUUUAUAUUCUAUUGGAAAACCUGCUUCUGAAGAUAAAGCAUUAGUUAAAAAAUAGUUUUCCAGAAGGGAACAUACCCUGUAAGCCCCAAUGCCCGGAAGGGCUCUGGGGAAGGACCAUAUGAGCUCUGCCACACUUUGACAGGGUAUAGCGCAUAUAUAUAUAUAUAUAUAUAUGUAUGUAAGUUUCUAAUAGUUUUCCACCUCCAGCAUGAUGACAUUUUAGUUGUGGACUUCUAGAAAGCACAGAAUAACAAUGAUGCAGCCAAUUUUUCAAUUUAGCAAAAUGUCAGAGAAGACACUAUAUGGAGAUGAAUCUAUGUUUACCUGGUUAAUGUAUACAAAUCCCUUACUCCCCUGGGAAGAAGAAAAUACUGGUGUUGCAAAGUUUGUUGCACAGAUAGGAGUGCUGAAUGGAAUGUCUCUGCAUUUCUCAGUAUAAGCGUACAUCAUUUCCAUGCGUGUUUCAAGAGAUUGACUGACUUCUUGAAGAACUAAAGCAGUAAAACUGAGACACGAUCUUGCGGUGACAGAACACGCUGCCUGGAAUUUUCAUAUCGAAACACCUGACAAUAUUGAAGGGCACGUCUUGCCUGAUCAACCUAGUGGCCGUCUAUGAUGGGGUGACUACAUCAGUUGACAAGGGAAGACCUACAGAUGUCAUCUGUCUGGAUUUCUGUAAGACCUUUGAUACGGUCCCCCACAACAUUCUUCUCUCUAAAUUGGAGACAGAUGGGUUUGAUGGAUGGACUGUUUGGUGGAUGAGGAAUUGGUUGGAUGGUCACAUCCAGAGAGUAGUGGUCAACGGCGUAAUGUUUGGAUGGAGAUCAGUGACAAGUGGUGUCCCUCAGGGGUACAAGCUGGGCUGCAUCAAAAGAAGCAUGACCAGCAGGUCAAGGGAGGUGAUUCUGCCUCUCUACUCCGUUCUGGUGAGACCCCACCUGGAGUACUGCAUCCAGCUCUGGGGCCCUCAGCACAAGACAGGCAUGGACCUGUUGGAGUGAGUCCAGAGGAGGGCCACAAAAAUGCUCAGAGGGCUGCAGCAUCUCUACUAUUAGGAAAGGCUGAGAGAGUUGGGCUUGUUUAGCCUGGAGAAGAGAAGGCUCUGAGGAGACCUUAUUGUGGCCUUUCAAUACUUAAAAGGGGCUUAUAAGAAAGAUGGGGACAAACUUUUUAGUAGGGCCUGUAGCAAUAGGACAAGGCGUAAUGGUUUUAAACUAAAGGAGCGUGGGUUCAGACUAGGUAUAAGGAAGAAAUUUUUUACUGUGAGGGUGGUGAGGCACUGGAACAGGUUGCCCAGGGAGGUGGUAGGAGCCCCAUCGCUGGAAACAUUCAAGGUCAGGCUGGACAGGGCUCUGAGCAACCUGAUCUAGUUGAAGAUGUCCCUGCUCAUUGCAGGGGGGUUGAACUAGAUGACCUUUAAAGAUCCCUUCCAACCCAAACCAUUCUAUGAUUCUACAAUAUCGGUUCUGAUACUGAAAAUAUUUUCACAUGUGAAUAGUUUUAUUUUCAUAGUCGAGACUUUACAUAAAAGAUGUGCCAUAUACCAGAUAAUUAUGCAAAUCAAAACUGUUUGUUUGUUUCUUCAUUGAAGUAAGUUUACUAGCAAGGUACAGCAAGGAACAAUGUGCUCCAAAUCCUGGCUCGGUUUGUUAGAUCCCAUGUCUGCGUACUAUUUUCUCUUCUACUAACUUUCAGUAUAUCCUCCUCAGCAGCCACCCAGUGCAUGAUGCAUUCAGUUCACUACUUCAUGUGAUAUAUCUGCUUAUAGUGUCAGAAACAAGGUUACUCGGUGAUUCAGCCUAAUGGAAUUACUGGUAGCAAUUGGUAAUGGAAUUACUUGUAGCAAUUUCCCUAUAAAUACAUAAUAAGGGGAAUCUUCACAAAGAGGUAACGUUGCUGAGCAGAUCAAUUGUGUCCAUUUGGAUAUUCAAGAUAAUAAAUACGAGCAAAAUGUGUUUUAUUGAAGUAUUCCAUAUGAAAAUUUGCAUUUUCUACAACAUGGAUUUUUAAGAAAUUAAUACCUCAAACUGAAAAAUCACAUUCAAUAAUUUGAAGGUUUGAACUUCAUUUGAAAUCUGAACUCAGAUUUGGAUGCAAAUUAAUAAAUUAUCUAAUAAGCAAUCAAAGCUGAAAUUUCUGUCUUUAAUGGUGGCUAUUGCACAAGAAAAGAAGGUAUAGAAGCUAAUAACAAUUGCACCCAACUAAUGUAUAGCUUGUUUGUCGUUGUUAUUUCUCUGAGUGCUUUGCAAAUUGACCUUCUCUCAUUUUGUAAAGGAAGACACUGAGACACAGAGAGAGAAGGUGAUUUACCAGAGGUUUUACAGCAGGCCAGGCAGGGUCCCAUGCAGAAGCCCAGUCUCUGCCACCUGGUCCUGCGGUCUGUCCACCAGCUCCAUGGUGCUACCGGUGAUCACUGGAAAAUAAAAAUCUUCUUCAGAGAGUAUUAACUAGCUUCCACCAUAACGCUGUGCAUUUCUUAUUCAUAUACGUGCAUAUUCCCUUACUUCUUUGACUGGAAGAACAAGUUAAAAAUCCCUUCAAUUUUCAAGAUGAGAAACUGGAACAUUACGGUAAAAUUAAUGCUGGCGGAAACAUUUAUCCCUCUGUGACCUUUUACUGUUUUCUUAAAUGAGCAGCAUCUCUCCUUCCAGCCAUAGUGAUUCCCUCUUCAUUCCUAUUCAAAGAAUCAGUUCAGACUGAUUCAAGUACUGUUACAGGCAGCCGCCAAAUGAAUACAUUGCCUUUCACUGAGCUGCAAAUGCUGGUUAGGUCACAAGAUGCUCCGGCGCAAAAGGCUCUAUCAUCCCAAACACUGGGCAUUUUCACUUCUCUCUUCUCCUCCUUCUUCCAUGCAAGAAGGGUAAGGUUCACUGAUUCACAUUUAUUUGUGAAAUAGUGUGGUCUCUUCAUACAUCAUGUACCAAUUUAACUAUGUUCUCUGAGCUGUGUGAAUUUUUUACAACCUGUUCAAUUGUACUAUUUAAAAUGUUGCAUGCUUUUUCUGGCACAAAGGUGUUUUAUGCUGCCACUGGUUUUCUUUCUGCUAAGAAAAACCAAGCUAUUCUGAUACAACUCCUCCUAAAUGGGAGAUGUACAGCUUUAACUGAUGUGAUACACUUAGGUCAGCACAACUUUCUAUUGUAAACAAGGCCUAUAUUGCAGGGCUAAGGCUAGAUUACUCAGUUUUUCAAAAGGUCUGCCUACAGAAUAUGCACAACCAGUGUAACUAGUUGUGUUUUAAUAAAUACUAAUAAUAUAUGUCUAAUUACAACAGUUCAUCUUGGCAUUUCCUACGUGCCUCUCACGGAAUGACUAAGUGCUUCUCGUCUCACCACCGAGCCAAUUACUGACUACAGGCUGUUAUUAGGGGCAGUCCUAUGUAAUUUUCACGAUUACAAUAUAUGUAAUUUCAUAGCUGUGGACUGCCGACGAGUGAGCACUGUCCAUCUAGAAGAAAAAUAUUGCCUGCAAUCACUGUCAAGGGCUGAGGGAGGCAAAUGUUUACUCAUAGCCACAGCUUUCCUGACCGUGAAUAGUCCCCCUGAUUUCAAAGGGAUUAUGCCUGGUAGUAUGUAUUUGCAGAAUCAAUGCCUUAAUCAGCAUGAUUAAAUGUUUGAUUUUGCUCUCUUCAAAUUUGUUUGCAGGAUGCUAAAGUAGCCUCAUGAGUCUAUAUGUGCAAGUUAGCUCCUCUUUUGGAACUGUAUUUCAAUUUUACAAAAGCUCAGGCAAGCAAACCCUACUGUUACGCUUACUCCAAGGUGUGUUUUGUGAUGGAUGUAGUGGUCAGAAUGUCACACAGACAAAUACUUUAGUAGAAAUGUGCAAAUAAUCAGAUAGAAAUGUGCAAAUAAUCAAAUGACAAAGAUCCAAAAUCUUGUUAAAUAGUGGGAUCUAGAAACUGUAGGUUAGAUUUAUUGCUAGAAUGAACAGACGCCGUUCACAGACAUCAAAGGCUAAGGUAAAAUGGAAAAAAAAUCAAGUAGAAAAUAGGGCUUCUAUGGAAAGAAAAUUGACAUUGCCUUCUUUUCCCUUUCCUUCUCUUAACAUGCAGGCAGCUCCUACUUUCUGUGUUUACCCUGCGGUCUUGCUGUCAUCUUUUCCUGUCUACACCCUUUUCAUACUUCUGUGCAGCACUAGAUAGAAGAAAUCGGUUUUGCCUGCUACUACCAAAGCUGUGUGGUUUUUUGAGUGCUCCUCUCUGCCAAAAAUCAAUUACAGAACUUUGGCUCUUCUUGUUUCCCUCUAACGCUUCAUCCUUUAUAGAUCACUAAGGCAUUUAGCCAUGGAGGUUCUCACUUUCUCUCUUGUAAGAGGAAGUGCCCUUGAAGUUGUCUUGAGCCCUUUCCGAGGAGCUCCAGGAAGAUAAAUAGCAUGUCUGUGCUGUCCACGUUGAUCUGCUGCAAAUUUUGCACCUAAGUCUUAUCUUUGCUCAUCCACAAAGCCUGCCUGUCACUGUGCACUUGCAAAUUCAGCCUGGCACCUGAUAGCUGGCUCUGUAGAUAAGAAAUUCAGAUGGAGGUGAUAACUGCGUCCAUACCUGAGCUCCACCUCUUUGCAAGCCCCUGCGCUCCAGAAAGGUCUUGAGACCUCCACCCUGAAGAUGUACUUGGUGUACAACACCUGAAUUAUGAAGUUUUAUAUUUUGGCAGUGUGAUUAAAAAGAGUCACUUCAUAGAGAACCGGUUUUCUAGAAAAUGUUGCAAAGAGGGUAAAGUUAUCCUACAGCAGUUGUAUAUCGCAUGAACUUAAUUAUGUCUUUGUUCUACGAACUGUAAUAAUUAAAAUCUAAUCCACGGUACAAUCAAUACAUGUGGCCAUUGCUUUCACUAAUGUAUGCACAUAAAUAAGUGUAUA